UACGUAGGGUGCGAGCGUUAAUCGGAAUUACUGGGCGUAAAGCGUGCGCAGGCGGUUCGCUAAGACCGAUGUGAAAUCCCCGGGCUUAACCUGGGAACUGCAUUGGUGACUGGCGGGCUAGAGUGUGGCAGAGGGGGGAUGGAAUUCCGCGUGUAGCAGUGAAAUGCGUAGAUAUGCGGAGGAACACCGAUGGCGAAGGCAAUCCCCUGGGCCUGCACUGACGCUCAUGCACGAAAGCGUGGGGAGCAAACAGG
rnacentral:rRNA from 1 species